rnacentral:sRNA from 1 species
UGUAUCAGCCUUUCCAAUAUUUUACAUAUAUAAUUGGGCACCAGACAUCAGUAUUCAUAUGUCCCCAGGUUUACAUCAGAUUUUUACAUGGUGGUCCUAUUAAACUACUUCUCGAUGUAUGCAUUUGGAACCUGAUCUACGGUACAAAUUUCCACAAGAAUACCAAUGUUAUACUACAGUUGAACUUCAGUAUCUCGAACACCGAUAUUUCGAAUACAAUAGAUAUGUCGAACUGAUUUGUAAGUCCCAACCACUUAUACUUUAAGAAAUUUACCCUCGAUAUCUCGAAUACUUGGAUAUCUCGAAGUUUUUAACCUCUCCAAUCUAGUUCGAGACAAGGAAGUUUAACUGUAUAUGUUCUGAUUUCUCAAACAGCUUUGAUCAAUUUAAAAUCUUUUUUGUGAUAGUUAUACAGAGUUUUAAAAUGAUCAGGUUUAAUGACAGGUUUACCACGUUAGCUUUUGUACAAACCAUUUGAUCUAAAAUGUGAUACUCUUAUUUAGAUGCGUAUUUUCUAUUAAUAAAAUUUAUCAGCAAUUAG